rnacentral:rRNA from 1 species
UACGAAGGGGACUAGCGUUGUUCGGAAUUACUGGGCGUAAAGCGCACGUAGGCGGCUUUGUUAGUCAGGGGUGAAAUCCCGGGGCUCAACCUCGGAACUGCCUUUGAUACUGCAAGUCUCGAGUCCGAUAGAGGUGGGUGGAAUUCCUGGUGUAGAGGUGAAAUUCGUAGAUAUUAGGAAGAACACCGGUGGCGAAGGCGGCCCACUGGAUCGGUACUGACGCUGAGGUGCGAAAGCGUGGGGAGCAAACAGG